rnacentral:rRNA from 1 species
UACAGAGGUCUCAAGCGUUGUUCGGAUUCAUUGGGCGUAAAGGGUGCGUAGGCGGCGCGGUAAGUCGGAUGUGAAAUCUCGGAGCUUAACUUCGAAACUGCAUUCGAUACUGCCGUGCUUGAGGACUGGAGAGGAGUCUGGAAUUCACAGUGGAGCAGUGAAAUGCGUGGAUAUUGUGAGGAACACUAGUGGCGAAGGCGAGACUCUGGACAGUUCCUGACGCUGAGGCACGAAGGCCAGGGGAGCAAACGGG